rnacentral:misc_RNA from 1 species
GUGAAUCAUCGAAUCUUUGAACGCACAUUGCGCCCGCCAGUACUCUGGCGGGCAUGCCUGUUCGAGCGUCAUUUCAACCCUCAAGCCCCCGGGCUUGGUGUUGGAGAUCGGCAACUGCCCCUCGUGGGUGCGCCGUCUCCCAAAUCUAGUGGCGGUCUCGCUGUAGCUUCCUCUGCGUAGUAAUUCACCUCGCUCUGGAACGCGGCGCGGCCAAGCCGUUAAACCCCCCACUUCUGAAGGUUGACCUCGGAUCAGGUAGGACUACCCGCUGAACUUAAGCAUAUCAAUAAGCGGAGGA